rnacentral:lncRNA from 1 species
AAUUCGUAGUCCUUCCGUCCAAAAUAGCCGUUUGGUCAAAGAGUCAAAGGUGAGAGGUGAAAUUUUUUACCAAAAGUGCCCUUAAUGAAAUUGUUAAACCCUUCUUCUACUUCAUAUCUUCUCUGUUUCUUCCCUCCAUCUUUCUUCUCCCUCGUAUCUUCUCUGUUUCUUCCCUCCAUCUUUCUUCUCCCUCAUAUCUUUUCUAUUUCUUCCCUCCAUCCU